GAUGAACUUCCACACCAAUAGUUGCUAUAUAUUGCAGACAAUACAUGGAAAAAUUAGCACCAAAUACAGCGAAAUGAUCAAAUAAAACUCAUCCUGCAGAACUUAUAAUUUUUUUAAAAGAAAGAAAAAUAAAAUAAAUAAAAAAAACAGAUUUUUAGAGGGAUAUACAUUGUUGGUGUCAUUUCUGAAGACACUUUGUUUUUUGUUCAAAUGGCAUCAUGUUUUAGUUACUAUAUGACCA
rnacentral:misc_RNA from 1 species